AGUGAACGCUGGCGGUAGGCCUAACACAUGCAAGUCGAACGGCAGCACAGUAAGAGCUUGCUCUUACGGGUGGCGAGUGGCGGACGGGUGAGGAAUACAUCGGAAUCUACUUUUUCGUGGGGGAUAACGUAGGGAAACUUACGCUAAUACCGCAUACGACCUACGGGUGAAAGCAGGGGAUCUUCGGACCUUGCGCGAUUGAAUGAGCCGAUGUCGGAUUAGCUAGUUGGCGGGGUAAAGGCCCACCAAGGCGACGAUCCGUAGCUGGUCUGAGAGGAUGAUCAGCCACACUGGAACUGAGACACGGUCCAGACUCCUACGGGAGGCAGCAGUAGGGAAUAUUGGACAAUGGGCGCAAGCCUGAUCCAGCCAUACCGCGUGGGUGAAGAAGGCCUUCGGGUUGUAAAGCCCUUUUGUUGGGAAAGAAAAGAAGCAGGUUAAUACCCCGCUGUUCUGACGGUACCCAAAGAAUAAGCACCGGCUAACUUCGUG
rnacentral:rRNA from 1 species